rnacentral:lncRNA from 1 species
GGAAGGUGCUGGGCUGGCAGUCGCCGGCCCUAGGGGGCUGGAUGGUCGAGGGCGCGGGGUCCAAGCUCACCAGGGAAGCUCAACGGGCGGACAGCGCAGCGAGGGUCGCGCUCGGUACAAGCUACGUAGCGCGAGAGCGGUGGCCAUGGCUGACCAACGCGCGGCGAAGUCGUCACCGGCGCCGUUAGUCCCCGGGUUGGGAGGGCCCUGCGGAGCCUGACCCAGCGUGGCUGCAGCGCCCCCUGCGUCCCGGAGGGCACCGCACAGCUCGACCGGCCCAGCAGGCGCCUUGGGGUCGGGGAGACGCUGGGGGCCCUCAACGCGGCCCUGGGGCCAGGCGGUCCGGUGUGGAUCAAGGAGACGCGCACCCGCCACCUGCGUUCCCGAGACUUUCUGGCACCGCACCGCGCGCUGCAGGCGCGCUUCGAUGACGGCCAGGUUCCGGAGCAUUUGCUCCAUGCCCUCGCCUGCCUGCAGGGCCCCGGUGUGGCCCCGGUGCUGCGCUGCGCGCCGACCCCCGCGGGUCUGUCUCUCCAACUGCAGCGGUCCGCCGUCUUCGAG